rnacentral:lncRNA from 1 species
AUGGGGAACAAACAGGAAGAACUAGAGAUCUGUGUGUGGUCGCAGGGCCAUGAUCUCAUUGCCAUUACAGAGACAUGGUGGGGUAGCUCACGUGACUGGAGUGCUGUCCUGGAUGGCUACGUGCUUUUUAGGAAAGACAGGCCAGGAAAGCAAGGUGGUGGAGUUGCUCUUUAUGUGCAAGAGCACCUGGAAUGUAUGGAGCUGUGCCUAGGGGUGGAUGAAGAGCGAGUCAAGAGCUUAUGGGUAAGGAUUCAAGGGCAGGCUAGCAUGGGUGACACUGUUGUGGGUGUUUACUACAGGCCACCUGAUCAGGAUGAGGAAGUCGAUGAGGCCUUCUACAGACAGCUGGAAGUAGCYUCACRAUCCCAGGCCCUGGUUCUCAUGGGGCACUUCAACCACCCUGAUAUCUGCUGGAAAGACAACACAGCUAGGCACAAAGAGUCCCGGAGGUUCCUGCAGAGCAUUGGUGACAACUUCUUGACACAGGUGGUGGAGGAGCCAACAAGGAGAGGUGUGCUGCUGGACCUCGUACUAACAAACAAAGAAGGACUGGUGGAAGAUGCGAAGGUCAGGGGCAGCCUUGGCUGCAGUGACCAUGAGAUGGUGCACUUGAGGAUCCUGCGAGGAGGAGGCAGCAGGGCAUCAAGUAGGAUCGCAACCCUGGACUUGAGGAGAACAAACUUUGGCCUCUUCAGGGACCUACUUGGAGGAAUCCCAUGGGUUAGGGCCCUAGAAGGAAGGGGCGUUCAAGAGAGCUGGUUAAUAUUCAAGCAUCACUUCCUCCAAGCUCAAGAGCAGUGCAUCCCUAUGAGUAGGAAGUCAAGCAAAGGAGGCAGGAGACCUGCAUGGAUGAGCAAGGAGCUCCUGGCAAAACUCAACCAGAAGAAGGAAGUCUACAGAAAGCGGAAAGGGGGACAGGCCACUUGGGAGGAAUAUAGGAACAUCAUCAGAGUAUGCAGGGAUGUGACGAGGAAGGCUAAGGUCCAUUUGGAAUUAAAUGUGGCAAGGGAUGUCAAGGACAACAAGAAGGGCUUCUUCAAAUACWUCAGUAGCAAGAGGAAGACUAGGGAAAAUGUGGGUCUGCUGCUGAAUGGGGUGGGUGCCCUGGUGACAAAGGAUGCAGAGAAGGCAGAGUUACUGAAUGCCUGA